GGGGGUGUAGCUCAAUUGGGAGAGCGUAUCCUUGGCGUGGAUAAGGUCGCGGGUUCGACCCCCGCCACCUCCA
rnacentral:tRNA from 1 species